UGGGGAAUUUUGGACAAUGGGCGCAAGCCUGAUCCAGCCAUGCCGCGUGCAGGAUGAAGGCCUUCGGGUUGUAAACUGCUUUUGUACGGAACGAAAAGGUGCCUUCUAAUAAAGGGCGCUCAUGACGGUACCGUAAGAAUAAGCGCCGGCUAACUACGUGCCAGCAGCCGCGGUAAUACGUAGGGUGCGAGCGUUAAUCGGAAUUACUGGGCGUAAAGCGUGCGCAGGCGGUUUUGUAAGACAGAGGUGAAAUCCCCGGGCUCAACCUGGGAACUGCCUUUGGGACUGCAAGGCUGGAGUGCGGCAGAGNGGGAUGGAAUUCCGCGUGUAGCAGUGAAAUGCGUAGAUAUGCGGAGGAACACCGAUGGCGAAGGCAAUCCCCUGGGCCUGCACUGACGCUCAUGCACGAAAGCGUGGGGAGCGAACA
rnacentral:rRNA from 1 species